AUUGAACGCUGGCGGCAGGCCUAACACAUGCAAGUCGAACGAGUGGCGGACGGGUGAGUAAUGUCUGGGAAACUGCCUGAUGGAGGGGGAUAACUACUGGAAACGGUAGCUAAUACCGCAUACCAUCGGAUGUGCCCAGAUGGGAUUAGCUAGUAGGUGGGGUAAAGGCUCACCUAGGCGACGAUCCCUAGCUGGUCUGAGAGGAUGACCAGCCACACUGGAACUGAGGAACGGUCCAGACUCCUACUGAAGGCAGCAGGGGGGAAUAUGGCACAAUGGGCGCAAGCCUUAUGCAGCCAUGCCGCGGGUAAGAAGAAGGCCUUCGGGUUGUAAAGUACUUUCAGCGGGGAGGCGUUACCCGCACAAGAAGCACCGGCUAACUCCGUGCCAGCAGCCGCGGUAAUAC
rnacentral:rRNA from 1 species